rnacentral:tRNA from 1 species
GGUCGUAUAGCUCAGCUGGGAGAGCGCUUGAAUGGCAUUCAAGCGGUCAGCGGUUCGAUCCCGCUUAUCUCCACCA